UUUAGGGCCACUCCAGAGGUGUUAAAGCUCCAGCACUUCGAGCCUGCCUCGUGGGAAAGUCUUAGGCUGAGUCUGUAGGUGUCUGCAGUUAAGAAGCCAGCGGUCUGCAUAUGAUUGCUCAGGGGUGGUGGCUGGGUCCAACAGCAUUCACUACAGGCCUGCCUUGAAUACCACCUAGCGCAGUGCUCCGCAUAUCACAGGGGCUGGAAACCUAACAAUUUCACUUCCUAGACAACUUGCUAAAAGUCACCUAAAGACAGUCUGGUUACUGCCAAAGAUAUGCUUUCAAAUAAGAUUUGGAUAAAGAAGGGAGGUAGAUGCCUUUUUUCAGCAGUGGAGUGAUGUCUAGACCAGUAGAUGUACGCAUCUAAGUGAAUUCAUCACCAGCAACAAUUUCCAGAAACUUCCUGACCUCCAGAUUGCAGCUUCAUUAGUGUGAGUUUAA
rnacentral:lncRNA from 1 species